CCUACGGGAGGCAGCAGUAGGGAAUAUUGCUCAAUGGGGGAAACCCUGAAGCAGCAACGCCGCGUGGAGGAUGAAGGUUUUAGGAUUGUAAACUCCUUUUGUGAGAGAAGUUAAUGACGGUAUCUCACGAAUAAGCACCGGCUAACUCCGUGCCAGCAGCCGCGGUAAUACGGAGGGUGCAAGCGUUACUCGGAAUCACUGGGCGUAAAGAGUGCGCAGGCGGGCUUGUAAGUCAGAUGUGAAAUCCUGUAGCUUAACUACAGAACUGCAUUUGAAACUAUGAGUCUAGAGUGUGGGAGAGGUAGGUGGAAUUCUUGGUGUAGGGGUAAAAUGCGUAGAUAUCAAGAGGAAUACUCAUUGCGAAGGCGACCUACUGGAACAUUACUGACGCUCAUGCACGAAAGCGUGGGGAGCAAACAGGAUUAGAUACCCUUGUAGUC
rnacentral:rRNA from 1 species